UACGUAGGGUGCAAGCGUUAAUCGGAAUUACUGGGCGUAAAGUGUGCGCAGGUGGCUGAGCAAGUCGAGUGUGAAAUCCCCGGGCUUAACUUGGGAAUUGCGCUCGAAACUACUUGGCUCGAGUGUGGCAGAGGAAGGUGGAAUUCCAGGUGUAGCGGUGAAAUGCGUAGAGAUCUGGGAGAACACCGAUGGCGAAGGCAGCCUUCUGGGCCAACACUGACGCUCAUGCACGAAAGCGUGGGGAGCAAACAGG
rnacentral:rRNA from 1 species